AUGCUGGACAGAAGUUGUUGGGUGUGUUUUGCCACCGAUAAAGAUGAUAGAAGAGCUGAAUUGGUGAGACCAUGCAAGUGCAGAGCAUCUACUAAGUGAGUUCACCAGGUUAGUCUACAAUGCUGGGUGGAUGACACGCAAAGAGAAAAAAGUGAAACCAGAGUGGCGUAUCCUCAGUGCAAUGACUGAAUGACUUAAUAGUUUUUCCAAAGUCAGGUCCAGUUCUUUUGUUGGGUCUUGCAUAUAGACUGGUCUCAAAAGCUUGCCCUUCUACUGCAUGCAGCAGGAAUAACGGUGGGAUCUGUCUGAUGGAGCAGACGUGACUUACGAAGCAGCAACAGUGCUUCAGGUUGUAGGCCAUAAGGACACCCUGGAUGUCAUGGAGCAAGCUGACCCUUUAUGUCUUUGAUUAGACUUCCUACUAUUCCUGUCACACUGAUAAAUAGGCAAAACGAUUCGCUGGGAAGACGAUGUGCAUAGACUAUGACCCAAAUACUCAAAUAAACUACAAAUCUUGAACAGGAUAUUCCCAAGGAUUUGGUUGUUCUGUUCCCUGAAGUCCAGCUGAAGCUGAGCCUUUAGCAGAUCUCUGCUCCUAGAGGUCUGUGUGGAGCCCUUGUGUCUCCUACUAUUGCGACAAUAGUCGGCAAUCUGAUGUUCAGUAUGUUAACUCAAAUUUAUAAAGGACAGUCUUGGCUGGAAUUGCCUUUGUUGCCAUAAAAGGAGCAUAUAAGGUUUACUUCAAACAGCAGCAACAUUUAUAUCAGGCACACCCCCAAAUCCUAAAUUAUUCAGAGCAGGACGAGGUCUAAAUCUGAGUCCUGGUUGUUCUGAGGCCUCUCCUC